AUGCUCAGUUGGCCUGACGUGUAGAUAGUUUGGUUGCAUUUAAUUAGGCCACCAGCAUGUAAAAAUGAGCAAAAAACCUGAAAAAGACAAAUUGCACCCACUACAGUGACCUAUCAGUACCUUUUUGGAUAAACACUGCAGUUCCAUUUUGUUUCCUGUAGGAGACAGCGUGCGCUGUAGGCAUUUUAAGCUAGUAAAUAAUUGCCUGAUAGAAGUUUUUGUUGUGAAAGGCAAAUAAGUUGAAGAUAAAAGUUAUGAUGUGUAUAUCACGUGUUUUGUUUAAACAUAAAUGAUUUUUUGUGGCCAAAAAUAAAGAGGCUUAGUUUAAAAGACUGGGUCCCGCUGUAUUGCUCAGGCUGCACUGCAGCGCCUAUUCACAGGCGCGAUCCCACUACUGAUCGGCACGGGGGCUUCGACCUGCUCCGUUUCCGACCUGGGCCGGUGCACCUCUCCUUAGGCGACCUGGUGGUCCCGGGCUCCCCCAGGAGCACCAUAUCGAUACCGAACUUAGCGCGGACACCCGAUCGGCAUAGUCCGAUGCAGCCCAGAACCCCUGAGCUCAAUCGAUCCGCCAGCCUCAGCCUCCCAGACACUUGGAUUAUAGGCGCACGCCACUGCACCCGGCGAAGGACACAGUGAUUCGGAUAGAACUUCAAGCUGUUUACAGAGUCACCUGUUUCUUCAGUCUGCAGCAGGUGUCAGACUUGAGUGUUACCUGAGGCCCGUGUUUUGGAGGUGCCCUGCUGGGAGGGAGGUGGGAUUCCUGUUGGACUGGUUGAGCCUGUUCCUCCAGACAGACCCGUAUGAAGUGCGGUACACUCCUCCUUGCACUGUUGCUCUGAAGACUGGCCCUUAUCUGCUCGUGCACAGUUCCACGGUGUGUUUCAAGAAGAAGUACUGUGCAAGGGCUAUAUUUAGAAAUGGUGACAGUGUCGCUAAUGUUUAUUUGGAUGGUCAUGCUGUAUGACGUGUGGAAAUAAUAUGUUAACUCAGUGAAUGUUGUUGAUCAUGAGUGAGGGUGGUGUUGAGAGUGAGAGAAAAGCUCCCGGUUAGCCACCGUAUUCAAGUGCAUUCAAGUAAUUCAUUACGUCUUUUGUUCACUGGCUUCCCUCCAUGUCAAAGGAAAAACCCCAUUUGAGUCACAACUUGGUGAAAUAGCAUGUUAAUGAUGUAAAGCUUAAUGUAAUUGUGUGCAUAUAAGACCUUUAUGCAUACAUAACACUGAAAAAAAAACACCUUAUAGUAUAAGUAUACAAGCAAUCUAUGUGACAAUUUAGGUCAAAAUGAUCCAAAUUGUAGUUGUAGCAGGCAACAUUGCAACAGGUUAGGUCAUGUGUCGAGUCAUUUUUGUAGUUAAAGUAUUGUCGCAACUUACUUCUGCGCAGCUCUGUGCUAAUUGUUAGCAUCAGUAAUCAGAUGUGUCUGGAGGAAAUAGGAUGCAGCAGCCGAGCAGACUGAAUAACAUAGAAGUGAUUCAGAUCAGAUGUCCAUCUGUGAGUUUCCCCCCUUUUGGCAGGUGCCAGCAUGAUGAAGCCCUCCUUCGGUCUCGACCCCUAGAGAUGGACUUUGCCAUGCCCGGGCGUGACCUGGCACAUGUUUGUGCCAGGCUGAGCAUUUAGAGGAGUUGCCAUUCCAGAAGCAAGUGGUCAGUGAAGGUGAUGUCAACACACAGAUGAUGUGUCUGUCAAUGAACUUAAACACUGACCAGCAAGAGGUCCGCUAUUUCAAAGGCCAUAAACUUGUUGAGUCCUGUGGCUGAAUGUCUCUUGGGGACAUAAAUAAAACAUCUCCUGUUCAA